rnacentral:rRNA from 1 species
UACGAACUGUGCGAACGUUAUUCGGAAUCACUGGGCUUACAGGGUGCGUAGGCGGCUUAACAAGUCAGGUGUGAAAGCCCCCGGCUCAACCGGGGAACUGCGCUUGAAACUGUUAGGCUCGAGUCAGCUAGAGGUACACGGAACUUCCAGUGGAGCGGUGAAAUGUGUUGAUAUUGGAAGGAACACCGGAGGCGAAAGCGGUGUACUGGGGCUGGUCUGACGCUGAGGCACGAAAGCCAGGGGAGCGAACGGG